GUGGAUACUAUGAAACCAGUUGUGCAUUCUGAGAGUACAAUAUAUAAAAUAUAUAAUAUUUUUGUAAAAUGUAAUAUUUUUGUUUUAAUCAAAUUGUUGUUGUUUUUUUGUUUUUUGCAGAAGACUGAAACCUGAUUUUGAGAUGCCUCGCACAAAGCAAGCCCGGCGCUCCCAGGCCGCAAAGAAGAGGAUGGCAGACCGGAUGGCUGCUGAUCCUGAAGAGGCUCUGCCACCUCUUAAAAAAUUGGCAGAAGUAACAGAACGUUGUGUACAUCACAACGGGGCUAUAAAACUGGGUCAUAACAGUGGUCAUAACCGUGGUCAUAACCUUGGGCAAACAAGUGGUCUAACAAGUGGUCUAACAAGUGGUCAAACAAGUGGUCAAACAAGUGGUCAAACAAGUGGUCAAACAAGUGGUCUAAACAAUGAUGCUAAAAACACGGAUCAUAAUAGUACUGUUAACAUGACCAUGAAAGCUGUUUCUGAUUUGUGUCCACAGAAAUCGUACAUCAGUGGCUCUUUCCAUCAAGGAGAUUACCGUUUUGGCCGGAAUAGGAGAAGUCAAUGUGGUGCAAACUGUUUAACUGCAAUUAUGAUGAGUAAGAUGAAAAGUGUGUUGCAGUGGACGAGAAGUGACCUGAAUGCUGUUCUGAUCCAUGGAGAUGACCUGUACAGUGCCAUGAGAGACGCAGGGAAAAUCAACGAUCCUGAAUCCGUCUUCAUAGCUGUUCAUGAGCUACCAGACACACACACACUCUGAAAGAUUGUCAGUUUUCAAUAAACUAUGGUGAAGCAUUGA